rnacentral:rRNA from 1 species
UACGAAGGGGGCUAGCGUUGCUCGGAAUCACUGGGCGUAAAGGGUGCGUAGGCGGGUCUUUAAGUCAGGGGUGAAAUCCUGGAGCUCAACUCCAGAACUGCCUUUGAUACGGAGGAUCUUGAGUUCGGGAGAGGUGAGUGGAACUGCGAGUGUAGAGGUGAAAUUCGUAGAUAUUCGCAAGAACACCAGUGGCGAAGGCGGCUCACUGGCCCGAUACUGACGCUGAGGCACGAAAGCGUGGGGAGCAAACAGG